UUCCGGGUCUCCUGGGGGUGGGGCAUUGACGUGAGCUCAGAGCUGGGUCGCAGCUGGGGUGGCACCCGAGCGUGCGCAACGGCGAUGGCGCGGGGCUGCGGGCUGGGAUCGCGUGGGUUGAGCGUCUGCGUGGUCUGUUACCUCGCCCCCUCCUGGGAGGCCCGUGCUGUUAUUACCAUUUACGGGUGAGAACACGCGCCCUCCUUGCGCACUCUGCUAAACCCCGGUGAAGAUGACCUGGAGAUCCGUCCCCCCUUUAUUUUUGUAAAGGGACACGGGUUCGAGCCCUGGUCUGGGAAGAUCCCUGCAUGCCGCAAAGCAACUAAGCCCGUGCGCCAGAACUACAGAGCCUGCGCUCUAGAGCCCGUGAGCCACAACUACUAAGCCCGUGUGCCACAACUACUGAAGCCCGCGUGCCUACAGCCCAUGCUCGGCAACAAAAGAAGCCACCGCAAUGAGAAGCCCGCGCACCACAACAAACAGUAGCCCCCGCUCGCCGCAACUAGAGAAAGCCCGCGUGCAGCAACGAAGACCCAAUGCAGCCAAAAAUAAAUAAAAUCAAUUUAUCGAAAAAAACAAAAAACCCCACAUUGGUCUGUAGUUUAUUUUCACUUGUGAUGUCUUUGGUUUUGAAAUCAGGGUAAUGAUGGCCUCGUGGAAUGAGUUCCUUCCUCCUCUUUUUUUUUUUUUUUUUUUUUUUUUU